CCGGGAAUUUUGGGCAAUGGGCGAAAGCCUGCCCCAGCAACGCCGCGUGAGGGAUGAAGUAUUUCGGUAUGUAAACCUCGAAAGAAUGGGAAGAAUAAAUGACGGUACCAUUUAUAAGCUCCGGCUAACUACGUGCCAGCAGCCGCGGUAAUACGUAGGGAGCAAGCGUUGUUCGGAUUUACUGGGCGUAAAGGGCGCGUAGGCGGCGCGGUAAGUCACUUGUGAAAUCUCUGAGCUUAACUCAGAACGGCCAAGUGAUACUGCUGUGCUAGAGUGCGGAAGAGGCAACCGGAAUUCUUGGUGUAGCGGUAAAAUGCGUAGAUAUCAAGGGGAACACCUGAGGCGAAGGCGGGUUGCUGAGCCGACACUGACGCUGAUGCGCGAAAGCCAGGGGAGC
rnacentral:rRNA from 1 species